GACGAACGCUGGCGGCGUGCUUAACACAUGCAAGUCGAACGGAAAGGCCCUGCUUUUGUGGGGUGCUCGAGUGGCGAACGGGUGAGUAACACGUGAGUAACCUGCCCUUGACUUUGGGAUAACUUCAGGAAACUGGGGCUAAUACCGGAUAGGAGCUCCUGCUGCAUGGUGGGGGUUGGAAAGUUUCGGCGGUUGGGGAUGGACUCGCGGCUUAUCAGCUUGUUGGUGGGGUAGUGGCUUACCAAGGCUUUGACGGGUAGCCGGCCUGAGAGGGUGACCGGCCACAUUGGGACUGAGAUACGGCCCAGACUCCUACGGGAGACAGCAGUGGGGAAUAUUGCACAAUGGGCGGAAGCCUGAUGCAGCAACGCCGCGUGCGGGAUGACGGCCUUCGGGUUGUAAACCGCUUUCGCCUGUGACGAAGCGUGAGUGACGGUAAUGGGGAAAGAAGCACCGGCUAACUACGU
rnacentral:rRNA from 1 species